rnacentral:siRNA from 1 species
AACAGCGUUAACAUUCUCUGUUAA